rnacentral:rRNA from 2 species
UACAGAGGUCCCAAGCGUUGUUCGGAUUUACUGGGCGUAAAGGGUGCGUAGGUGGUCGGGUAAGUCUCAUGUGAAAUCUCCAAGCUCAACUUGGAAAUGGCAUGGGAUACUAUUCGGCUAGAGGAUUGGAGGGGGGACUGGAAUUCCCGGUGUAGCAGUGAAAUGCGUAGAUAUCGGGAGGAACACCAGUGGCGAAGGCGAGUCCCUGGACAAUUCCUGACGCUGAGGCACGAAAGCUAGGGGAGCAAACAGG